UCUAAAAUAUUUUCAUAAAGAAAGGAGGAAGAGAGAUUUCAGGCAUUUUGAAGAAGACGCUGGAGCCAGUGAAUGUUGGAUGAGGAACCCAUCUCAGAACCAUAUGGGAUGCUGAGGAACUCAGAAAAUCAGGGCAGCGAUCAGCAGUGUACUCUAAUUCUUGACCAAGAGAUUUACUUGGAAAAUGAGAAAUUCCUGGACUACACUACUUGCCUAAAGCUUCUUCUGGUUGGAGUCAGUCCUUAAGGCUCUAAGAUUAAAGUACCAUGAGCUUAGAAACUCUGCAAGCUAUAACAUCUGCCCCAAGACUCAUCCUGAAGCAACUGCUCUUCUUGGAGCUUGAGCCUGCUGCUGGCUUCUGGACUUGAACUUCCAUUGGCUCUCCCAGUCCUCAGGCCUUUGGACGCAGAAUCUGGGGUCUCCAGCUUGCCAAUCACAGAUCGCUGGGUGUCUCAGCCUCCAUAAUUACCUGAGC